CCAAACCAAACCCUCCCUUUUGCCUUCGUCUCUAACCUUCAGAGACGAAACCUAACGCCACCGCCCACCACCGCGUCGGGAAUCGCCUAUGGCGGUGGUCGGCGUCCAAACAGCCCCAAAAUUACACCGUCGAUUCACCUCGACCUCCCCAUCCCCGAUCCACCCUUAUCUUCCUUCGAAUCGACUCAGAACCCUUCAAAUAUUAGUUUAAGUCCAGAAACCCUAGCGCCGCCACAAAAUCCCCUGGUGGCGGCGCCACCUCCCCUUAGCCUCAAAUCAACACCAGAUGAUCACCACACUACCCUCACCCCAAGUCCCUUACCAGCUCUCCCCGAACCCCCCUCAAAUUGCUCGAAUAUCAAAUCUGAACCCUAAGUUCACGAACCCUAAAAUACAAAAGGUCUAUAAGGAUUUUUUCGGCCAGAUUGGACCUUAUUCUUGGGUUUUCACUUGAAAAUACAAGCUUAAGGUCUAGUCCGACCGGAAAUUAAAGACCUACCAAAGUUUUGAUUCGAGUCCAGUUGAAUUUCUGAGGUACUCAUUUGAUCUACCAUGGCCUAAGAGCUAAGGAACUUGUAGCUAAAGUUUUGAUUGAAAAUAAUAGGCUGACUUAAGGGCUCGAGAUGCCUACGUCUCUAUUUGUUCAUAUAUUCUUAUUCUGUUUUGCUUGUGUAUACAUUAGUCUUCAUGUUAGGUCGUGUAGUAGCAAUAUUUAGAACUUGACAAAUUGGAACUCUUGAUGUUUGGUAUAACUGGACUGUAUAAUUGGGCUGGACUACAUCGGCUACGAACUGUAGAUCAUGUUAGCAUUUAACAUUUAGUUA